rnacentral:misc_RNA from 1 species
GGAAGGAUCAUUAGAGAAUAGCCGAAAGGCUUCAUCCAAUUACACUGUGAACUGUGGCUUCGGCCUCUCUAAACUAUGUGUAUGAAUGUAUUAUAUUAUAAAUAAAACAACUUUCAACAACGGAUCUCUUGGCUCUCGCAUCGAUGAAGAACGCAGCGAAAUGCGAUAAGUAAUGUGAAUUGCAGAAUUCAGUGAAUCAUCGAAUCUUUGAACGCAACUUGCGCCCUCUGGUAUUCUGGAGGGCAUGCCUGUUUGAGUGUCAUGUAGACUCAUCUAAUCAGAUUUUCUGAUUGAGAUGGAUUUGGGAACUGCCCAACCUGGCUUUCCUUAAAAGCAUUAUGCAAACGUAAUAAGUUUCGUUGUACGCAUACAUCAUAUACUUUGUACACUGACCUCAAAUCAGGUAGGGCUACCCGCUGAACUUAAGCAUAUCAAUAAGCGGAGGAAAAGAAACUAACAAGGAUUCCCCUAGUAACGGCGAGUGAACCGGGAAGAGCUCAAAUUUGUAAUCUGUCGUUUUUCAAGCGACCGAGUUGUAAUCUACAGAGGCAUUUUCUGUGCUGGACCGCAUCCAAGUCCCUUGGAACAGGGUAUCAAAGAGGGUGACAAUCCCGUACUUGAUGCGAUUACCAGUGCUUUGUGAUAUGUUCUCAACGAGUCGAGUUGUUUGGGAAUGCAGCUCAAAAUGGGUGGUAAAUUCCAUCUAAAGCUAAAUAUUGGCGAGAGACCGAUAGCAAACAAGUACCGUGAGGGAAAGAUGAAAAGCACUUUGGAAAGAGAGUUAAACAGUACGUGAAAUUGUUGAAAGGGAAACGAUUGAAGUCAGUCAUGCAUAAGGUAAUCAGCUGUCUUUGACAGUGUAUUUGCCUUUUGUAGGUCAACAUCAGUUUUGAUCGAUGGAUAAGGGUAAUAGGAAAGUGGCACCUUCGGGUGUGUUAUAGCCUGUUGUCAUAUACAUUGAUCGAGACUGAGGAAUGCAGCUUGCCUUUAUGGCCGGGGUCUUACCUACGUUCAAGCUUAGGAUGUUGACAUAAUGGCUUUAAACGACCCGUCUUGAAACACGGACCAAGGAGUCUAACAUAUCUGCGAGUGUUUGGGUGUCAAACCCAAGCGCAAAAUGAAAGUGAACUUAGGAGGGAUCCGCAAGGAGCACCUUCGACCGAUCCGGAUCUCUUGUGAUGGAUUUGAGUAAGAGCAUAUAUGCUGGGACCCGAAAGAUGGUGAACUAUGCCUGAAUAGGGCGAAGCCAGGGGAAACUCUGGUGGAGGCUCGUAGCGAUUCUGACGUGCAAAUCGAUCGUCAAAUUUGGGUAUAGGGGCGAAAGACUAAUCGAACUAUCUAAUGGCUGGUUCCUGC